rnacentral:rRNA from 1 species
GACGUAGGGCGCGAGCGUUGUCCGGAUUUAUUGGGCGUAAAGAGCUCGUAGGCGGCUCGUUGCGUCAACCGUGAAAACCCGGGGCUUAACUUCGGGCUUGCGGUUGAUACGGGCGGGCUGGAGUUCGGUAGGGGAGACUGGAAUUCCCGGUGUAGCGGUGAAAUGCGCAGAUAUCGGGAAGAACACCCGUGGCUAAGGCGGCUCUCUAGUACGGUACUGACGCUGAGACGCGAAAGCGUGGGGAGCGAACAGG